AACAAAAACAUGUCCUUUUGGUUUUUUGUAAGGUCUGGCCUGCCCAGUGAUAAUAAGUUUAACGGCCGCGGUAUAUUGACCGUGAAAGGUAGCAUAAUCAUUAGUCUUUUAAUAGGGGGCUGGUAUGAAAGGUUAAACGAAACAUUGACUGUCUUAUUUAUAAUAAUUAAAAUUUAACUUUUAAGUCAAAAGGCUUAAAUGUGUUUAGAGGACGAGAAGACCCUAUAGAGCUUUACAUUAGAUUUUUAAUGAUGGGUUGGUUAAAUGGACUAGUAUUGAUUUAUCUAUUGUUUUGUUGGGGUGACAAUAAAAUAUAAUUAACUUUUUACAUAGUUUACAUUUAUUUAUGAUUAUUUGAUCCAAUAUUAUUGAUCAUUAGAUUAAGUUACCUUAGGGAUAACAGCGUAAUCUUUCUUGGGAGUUCAAAUUUACAGAAAGGCUUGCGACCUCGAUGUUGGAUUAGGAUAAUAAUUAGG
rnacentral:rRNA from 1 species